GUUACUUCUCAGCCUUUUGCUAAGAUCAAGUGUAGUAUCUGUUCUUAUCAGUUUAAUAUCUGAUAUGUCCCCCAGUGGGGGAACUACAUUAGGGGCAGUGAUAGCCUAG
ensembl:snRNA U2 U2 spliceosomal RNA